UAAACCAAGACAACAAAUUCCAGCUCGAAUAAAUUUCUUGCCUGAGCCGACGUCUUGGUAAAGCAAACUUCUUUUUGAUCCUUGAUUAGUUUUAUAAUUAGUCGAGUUUGCACGAAGUGUACAU
rnacentral:snoRNA from 1 species